rnacentral:rRNA from 2 species
UUUGGUGACGAUAGCAAAGAGGAUACACCUGUUCCCAUCCCGAACACAGUAGUUAAGCUCUUUAGC